CGUCGUUAGCGGAACGGCUACGCUUGUGCCAUUUUGGGUGGCCUCAAUGCUCCUGUAGGUUCGUUCCACGCGGAUGACGUUGUC
rnacentral:tRNA from 1 species